rnacentral:SRP_RNA from 2 species
GAUGGGCACGGUAUCUCGUGCCUGUAGUCCCAGCUUCUCUGGAGGCUGAGGCAAGAGGAUAACUUGAGUCCGGGAGUUCUGGGCUGUAGUGUGCUAUGUCAAUUGGGUGUCUGCACUAAGUUCAACAUCACUAUGGUGACCUUCCUGGAGCAGACCACCAGGUUGCCUAAGCCAGGGUAAAAAGGCCCAGGUUGGAAAUAGAGCAGGUCAAAACUCCCAUGCUGAUCACGGGACCAUGAUCAUAGUGGGACCAUGCCUAGGAAAUAAGUGAGACCCUGUCUUGG